AUUGAACGCUGGCGGCAGGCCUAACACAUGCAAGUCGAACGAGCGGCGGACGGGUGAGUAAUGUCUGGGAAACUGCCCGAUGGAGGGGGAUAACUACUGGAAACGGUAGCUAAUACCGCAUACCAUCGGAUGUACCCAUAUGGGAUUAGCUAGUAGGUGGGGUAACGGCUCACCUAGGCGACGAUCCCUAGCUGGUCUGAGAGGAUGACAAGCAACACUGGAACGUAGACACGGCCCAGACUCCUACGGGAGGCAGCAGUGGGGAAUAUUGCACAAUGGGCGCAAGCCUGAUGCAGCCAUGCCGCGUGUAUGAAGAAGGCCUUAGGGUUGUAAAGUACUUUCAGCGAGGAGGCGUUACUCGCAGAAGAAGCACCGGCUAACUCCGUGCCAGCAGCCGCGGUAAUAC
rnacentral:rRNA from 1 species